rnacentral:rRNA from 1 species
GCUUAACCUGGUUGAUCCUGCCAGUAUCGCAUUUCUUAGUUAAAAGAUUUAUCCAUGCAUGUGUUCGGCGCCUAGUUUAGGUGCCUGCGUAUGGCUCAUUAAAACAGAGAUAACCCAUCCUCAGUAAUAUACGGACAACUACGCUAAUUGUGUGGCUAAUACGUGUUAAUGCUGUUUACAGCAUCCCAACAAUUGCUUGGCUAAAUUGAUUUUUUGUUGGUGUAGUAGGUUUUAACCAUUUGAGGGCGGGUCUUUGAUCUAUCAGCUGUAGACGGUUUUGUAUUGGAAAACCGUGGCUUUGACGGAUAACGGGGAAUUAGGGUUCGAUUCCGGAGAGAAAGCAUGAGAGACGGCUUUCACAGCUAAGGUUGGCAGCAGGAGCGAAAACUUUUCAAAUAGGCAAUGCCUGAAAAGGUGACUAUCUGUAUCGACAACUUCCUUUUGGUGGUUGAUUGAAAUGAAAAACUUAUAGAUCGAGUUUUGAUUAGCAAGUUCAGGGCAAGUCUGGUGCCAGCAGCCGCGGUAAUACCAGCUGAGCUAGAAAUGGGUAAUAUUGUUGCAGUAAAAACGCUCGUAGUUGCUUAUUUCUUUUGGUUUCACAUUUAUAUGUGGAAUUGUGGAGUAAAUUGAUGUUGUUCUCAACGUCAUUCUCCGCGAGUAAAGUAGAUUGUUAAAUUUCAACGAAUAUUGUAGCGCGGGAAAUCUUUUUAUGCCUUUAUUUGAAGCCAUGGUUUUAAUAAUGGGGAUAUCAUUUAAGAAUGCGUGAGGACACUGGUACUUAGUAGCUAGAGGUGAAAUUCAUAGAUUUACUAAUGACCAACUACUGCGAAAGCAUUUGUCUAACUCAUUUUUGUUGAUCAAGAACUAAAGUGUGGGUAUCGAAGAGGAUUAGAUACCCUCGUAGUCCACACCUUAAACUAUGCCAGCUAGAGGUUGGUGUAGGGAAAGUACUUUAUCAGAACCUUAGCAGAUAUGAAAGCUUUUGGGCUCUGGGGGGAGUACAGUCGCAAGGGCGAAACUUAAAGGAAUUGACGGAAUGGCACCACCAGGAGUGGAGCGUGCGGCUUAAUUUGACUCAACGCGGGAAACCUUACCAGGGUAAGACAUUAGAAUGAUUGACAGAAUGCUUGAUCUUUCUUGAUUUGGUGGGUGGUGGUGCAUGGCCGAUCUUAGUUGGUGGGGUGACCCGUCUGGUUAAUUUCGAUAACGAACGAGAUCCGAGCUAUUUAGUUGGUUUCUAUGGUAUAUGCUAUACAAAUCUUCUAAAUGGACAACUAGUGUUAAACUAGAGGAAGUUUCGGGCUAAAUCAGGUCUGUGAUGCCCUUAGAUGCUCUGGGCGGCACGCGCGCUACAAUGGGUAGUAUAAUGUGUUGUUUUGCUGAUAUGCAUGACUAAUCACUAAUAUAAACCCGUGAAAGGGAUAGUUUGUUGCAAUUUUCAGACUUGAACUAGGAAUUCCUUGUAAGCAUACUCAAGAAUACUAUGCUGAAUACGUCCCUGCCUUUGUACACACCGCCCAAGC